rnacentral:rRNA from 1 species
UACGAAGGGUGCAAGCGUUAAUUGGAAUUACUGGGCGUAAAGGGCGCGCAGGCGGUCUUGUAAGUCAGGCGUGAAAGCCCCGGGCUUAACCUGGGAAUUGCGCUUGAUACUCUGAGACUGGAGUACGGGAGAGGAGAGUGGAAUUCCCAGUGUAGAGGUGAAAUUCGUAGAUAUUGGGAAGAACACCAGUGGCGAAGGCGGCUCUCUGGACCGUAACUGACGCUGAGGCGCGAAAGCGUGGGGAGCAAACAGG